rnacentral:rRNA from 1 species
GAUGAACGCUGGCGGCGUGCCUAAUACAUGCAAGUCGAGCGAACGGACGAGAAGCUUGCUUCUCUGAUGUUAGCGGCGGACGGGUGAGUAACACUUGGAUAACCUACCUAUAAGACUGGGAUAACUUCGGGAAACCGGAGCUAAUACCGGAUAAUAUUUUGAACCGCAUGGUUCAAAAGUGAAAGACUGUCUUGCUGUCACUUAUAGCUGGAUCCGCGCUGCAUUAGCUAGUUGGUAAGGUAACGGCUUACCAAGGCAACGAUGCAUAGCCGACCUGAGAGGGUGAUCGGCCACACUGGAACUGAGACACGGUCCAGACUCAUACGGGAGGCAGCAGUAGGGAAUCUUCAGCAAUGGGCGAAAGCAUGACGGAGCAACGCAGCGUGAGUGAGGAAGGUCUGCGGAUCGUAAAACUCUGUUAUUAGGGAAGAACAUAUGUGUAAGUAACUGUGCACAUCUUGACGGUACCUAAUCAGAAAGCCACGGCUAACUACGUG